rnacentral:tRNA from 1 species
GUCUUUGUAGUACAUUUAGUAUACUGGUCUUGKAAACCAGAGAARGAGAGCAAGCUACCUCCCUAKGACU